AGAGUGGCGAACGGGUGAGUAACACGUGAGUAACCUGCCCUUCACUCUGGGAUAAGCGCUGGAAACGGCGUCUAAUACUGGAUAUGACUCAUACAGGCAUCUGUUGUGAGUGGAAAGAUUUAUCGGUGAAGGAUGGGCUCGCGGCCUAUCAGCUAGAUGGUGAGGUAACGGCUCACCAUGGCGACGACGGGUAGCCGGCCUGAGAGGGUGACCGGCCACACUGGGACUGAGACACGGCCCAG
rnacentral:rRNA from 1 species